AAGCCAAUUUGAGAUGCGGGGGAAACGGCACCUAAAGCCUAAAGCCCAGGUUGGUUUUUGUACCGUGUACUUCGCUGUUAACAAUCACGACCUCUCAUUCUUCUCUGUUCAUUCAUUCGAAUCCCUUUCUUCUUUUCUAUAUUAAAGUCUCCUAAAUGCAACAUGCAAUUCAGAAAGAGGGGUUCACACUAUUCUAGAUUCUGAAUCAAUCGAACCCAACUUCCCCCCCUCUCUUCUCCGAAUAGUGGGUUGCAUUUUUCCAUCCAAAGCAACUCCACGAUAAGAAAAAAAAAAAAAAAAAAACGAAGAAACCUUCCAAAAAUUGCUUUUAUUCUCAUCUGGGUUUCUCCUGUUUUCUUUGUUUGAUCUCCUUUUACCAAACUUUGAAGGUCUGGUUUGGAUAUGGAGGUGGAGAAGAAGUACAUUACCUCUGAGGAGCUUCUCAAGCACAACAAACCAGGAGAUCUAUGGAUCUCUAUUCAGGGUAAGGUCUAUAAUGUCACAGAAUGGGCUAAAGAACAUCCUGGUGGUGAUACGCCUUUUAUCAAUUUAGCGGGUCAUGAUGUGACCGAUGCAUUCAUUGCUUAUCAUCCUGGCACCGCUUGGGCGUAUUUGGAUCGGUUGUUUACUGGAUUUCAUCUCAAGGAUUUUCAGGUCUCGGAGAUUUCUAAGGAUUACAGAAAGCUUGCGUCUGAAUUUUCCAAACAAGGUUUGUUUGAGAAGAAGGGGCAUGUUACUAUGUAUUCUUUGAUUUCUGUUGCUGUGAUGAUGUUUCUUGUGGUUUAUGGGGUCUUGAAAUCGGAGAGCGUUUUGGUUCAUUUGGGUUGUGCUAUGAUUUUGGGUAUGCUUUGGAUCCAAAGUGCUUAUGUGGGUCAUGAUUCUGGACAUUCUAAUGUAAUGUCGAGUCGUGGAUUUAACAAAUUGGCUCAAAUUUUGUCUGGAAAUUGUUUGACGGGGAUUAGUAUAGCCUGGUGGAAAUGGACUCAUAAUGCUCAUCACAUCUCCUGCAAUAGCCUUGACCACGAUCCAGAUCUUCAACACAUCCCUGUUUUUGCUGUUUCUACUAGUUUCUUCCGGACUUUGACAUCUCAUUUCUAUGGUAGGAAGCUGGAGUUUGAUUCCUUGGCUAGAUUCUUUGUUAGCUACCAGCAUUUCACAUUUUACCCUGUGAUGUGUGUGGCUAGAGUGAAUCUCUUUGUGCAGACGUUGUUGCUCUUGUUUUCCACUAGAAAAGUUCCUGAUAGAGCAUUGAACAUAAUGGGGAUUCUUGUCUUUUGGACAUGGUUUCCUCUUCUAGUUUCUUAUCUCCCUAAUUGGCCUGAGAGAGUCAUGUUUGUUCUUGCAAGUUUUGCUGUAUGUUCUCUACAGCACAUCCAAUUCUGCCUCAACCAUUUCUCUGCUAAUGUUUAUGUUGGGAAGCCCACUGGGAAUGAUUGGUUUGAGAAGCAAGCAAGUGGGACUUUGGAUAUCUCUUGUUCUACUUGGAUGGAUUGGUUUUUUGGUGGAUUGCAAUUUCAGCUAGAACAUCAUUUAUUCCCAAGGAUGCCCAGAUGCCAGUUGAGGAAAAUCUCUCCAAUUGUGGUCGAACUUUGCAAGAAACACAAUCUUCCAUACAGAAGCUUGUCAUUUUGGGAUGCUAAUGUCCGCACCAUUAGAACUCUUAGAACAGCUGCUUUGCAAGCUAGAGAUUUGACCAAUCCUGUUCCUAAGAACUUGCUCUGGGAAGCUGUGAACACUCAUGGAUGAAGAUGAAGUUGAAGAUGAGGUCAGAUUCUUCAUAGUUCUUAUCUAGAUUUCUCAAGAACGGCAGCAGGUCAUUUCUGGGCUUCUGUAGAGCACGCGGUUUGAAUGUGUCCACAGUUCGGUUCGAUUCAAGUGAUCUUGUUAGAAUAUUGCUCUAGUUGAUCAAACAAGACUUCCGAGUCUACAUACUACAAAUCUUUAUUGCAUUUAUGAGUAAAUUAAUUCCAAUUCCAAUUUAGAGGAGAAAAAUAAAAUCUUCUUGAUCUCUUGUAUAAAUACAGGUAAAUUUGUUUCCAUGCCUUUCAAUGUCUCCUAUAUUCUUUUAAUGUUUAAUUGAAUCUAUACGUUAUAUGUUUGUUCAACGAUACGUGGAGUUGAGAGGUUAUCUUUUGAGUUGAAGAUAUAUAUGAUUGAAUUAAUUCAUCUCUA